rnacentral:rRNA from 1 species
AGCUCCAAUAGCGUAUCUUAAAGUUGCUGCAGUUAAAAAGCUCGUAGUUGCAUUUCCGAGGCAAGGGAUUAGUCCGACCUUUGGUGGGUAUUUAAUCCUCUUGCCUCGUCCUUGAGUGGUGCUUCUUGGUAUUAAGUUAUCGAGGAGAUAGCCGCUCAUCGUUUACUGUGAGAAAAUUAGAGUGUUCAAAGCAGGCUUAUGCCGUUGAAUAUAUUAGCAUGGAAUAAUAAGAUAGGACCUCGGUACUAUUGUGUUGGUUUGAGAACCAAGGUAAUGAUGAAUAGGGACAGUUGGGGGUAUUCGUAUUCAGUUGUCAGAGGUGAAAUUCUUAGAUUUACGGAAGACGAACUACUGCGAAAGCAUUUACCAAGGAUGUUUUCA